ACAGAGGUCCCAAGCGUUGUUCGGAUUCACUGGGCGUAAAGGGUGCGUAGGCGGUCGGGCAAGUUUGAUGUGAAAGCCCCGGGCUCAACCUGGGAAUGGCAUUGGAAACUGGCUUGCUGGAGUGUGGCAGAGGGGGGUGGAAUUCCGCGUGUAGCAGUGAAAUGCGUAGAGAUGCGGAGGAACACCGAUGGCGAAGGCAGCCCCCUGGGCCAACACUGACGCUCAGGCACGAAAGCGUGGGGAGCAAACAGGA
rnacentral:rRNA from 1 species